UGCACUUGUAAGGGCUGAGCAGUUGAUGAAUAACCAGGCUGAUGAAU
rnacentral:misc_RNA from 1 species